ensembl:snRNA U4 U4 spliceosomal RNA
AGCUUUGCACAAUGGCAGUAUUGUAGCCAUUGAGGUUUAUCGAGGUGCAUUUGUUGCUAAUUGAAAAAAAUAGACUCCAGAGAAGUCUCUUACCCCUUCUGCUAUGUGAGGGCACAGUGAAAAGAUGACUGCCUAUGAACUAGU